GCUGGGUGUGGUGGCUUGUGCCUGUAGUCCCAGCUAUUUGGAAGGCUGAGGCAGGAGGGUCACUUGCGCCCAGGACGUUGAGCUGCAGUGAGCCAUGAUGGCACCACUGUGCUCCAGCCUGGGCGACAGAGUGAGAUCUUGUCUCAA
rnacentral:SRP_RNA from 2 species